AGCCUAUGGCUUUGAACAAUAAAGACGUCAUUCAUUCAUAUUAUUCCAAAAAGUGUGAAUUUGGAUCUAAAUGCAAUUAACCUACAACACAACCAUCUACAUACUUGCUCAGAAGAAAAUAAUGUUGACUUCAGUGGGACUUACUCCAAGAUAUUUUGCUGUUAUGAUUACAAGAUUACCGAAAUUCUGUAUAAAAUUAAGGAACUACUAAGUUACUCACCACCAUGAAAUAUUGCUCGGUUGCAAAGCUCUGUCCAAUCACUACCACAUCCUAAGAGAGCAUCAUAUGCAAUCAUGGGAGCAUCAUGACCUCUCCUUCCACCACGACCUUCAGAACUCCAUC